AAGACAUGAUAUCUAAACGAUACGAGAUCCUAAAACAUGUCUCUGCGUUCAUAUCUCAACAUUUCCGAAAGAUCGUAAGAAUAAAUAAUUUUUACGAAAACUCACGUCUCGAACAAACCAACAGAUUAAACGCCUCAACGAAGUUAAAUAUGAGACGACAACUCGUGUUUACUUCAAACCCACUUGAAACAAACUAACUCAAACAAACAUCCACUAUAUAAACCGCAUAGCGGUAGGGGUUGAAAGCCACCAACGACCAGUCCCGAUAAAAACGGCCAAAACAGGCCCAUACAAAGUUCGAAGGCCACACUCGGCUGGACAUAUAUGAACAAAGGCCACACUCGGCCGCAAAAUACUAGAUAAGGGAAAAACUUCUUCCUG
rnacentral:lncRNA from 1 species